CUUUUUGAGGGUUUGAUCCUGGCCCAGGAUGAACGCUAGCGGCGUGCUUUAAGCAUGCAAGUGGGACGGACCUCGCAAGAGGUCAGUCGCGA
rfam:Microgenomates (Woesebacteria) bacterium GW2011_GWC1_43_10b TV56_C0006, whole genome shotgun sequence.